rnacentral:tRNA from 1 species
GGUGGGGUACCGAAGUGGCCAACCGGGGCAGACUGUAAAUCUGUUGACUAACGUCUUCGGUGGUUCGAAUCCACCCCCCACCACCA